CCUUCCAACGGGACACAAACCGCUCGUCAGCCCGACCAGCCCCAAACGGCUCCGCUGAACCGACUCGGGCACCGGCAAAGAGCUGCCGGGUGUAAAUUUAGACUUGGGGUCCGAAAUCACUGACACCCGCCUAUUGAAAUUAGGAAACGCAACGGCUUCUGGUUCCCCUGAGCGUCCUGCACCACUCGGCCCGAACUCUGCCCACCGACACUCCCGCCCCUCGAACACGAGCGAACCGCUCACUUGUUCCUAAAACGCUCAUAAUUUAAUGGUGCAGCUCCAAACCGCCCCGUUCUGCCCGAACCCCAAACCCUCCGGCUCCAGGAGCGAGUCGUGCAGGUUCAUUAAAGCCAAAUUAAAUAACUCCCUCGUGCCAAAGCCACGAAAACGGCAAGAUAAUCGAUCCAGGUCGCGUACUUUGACAAGCGGUAACAAGAGCACCCGAUUCAUCUGAAUUACUUUAUCUCCAGCGGAACAUACCACUCAUUAGCGAGGCCGCUAACGAAGCGACCGGACACUUUUAAAUAAGAACAUUUUAAGAAGCCUCCGAGGGGCCCAAUUUCCCAGCUCUGAGUCAAAUCUGACUGGUUUUAGGUUUUUCUAGCAGAAAACGCAGCUCCAACCAUCCCCGAGUUCCAGGUGCUCCGAGCUUCGCCAGAGGCCGCUCAGCUCGUCUGGAAAUGCUUGAAAAUAGACACCGAGGAAUCAAUGGAGCUGCGGGAGGAUGUGACCCCGAGUCCCUUCGCUGCUCUGAGGCCGCAGAGAAAACGGGAGAGUUAAGGAAUGAAAGGAGAAUUCUGCCCUUGGGUUUGGUUUGGAUCCGGUUGCGCCGUGUCAUGCUGGUGGAAACGGUUCAUGUUCCCGUGUCGGGGCUUGAAGAUCUGAGGUGAGGUUGGUGUUGAUGGACGUCCCGGGACAUGAGGGCAAUAACUAUAAAUGGUAAAGGCAGAUGGGUCGCAACCCUCGUCAGGAAUGGGUUAAACCUGCCCAAAGUCAAGUGUCCUUCCCCAAAACACCAUCCUCACGCUAAAAAAGAGGGUUGUGAACCCUGAGGACACGAGCAGCACAACUGAUUUCUCCAAAGGAUUUGAUAAGGAAACACCAGGGACCUUGAGGGACCUUCUUGGCUGGGGCAGGUUUGCAGAACCAGAGGGAAAUCCUCUUUGUGCUCAAGCAGCUUAUCCCGGCAGGUCUGGGAGCUCUCCGGGGCAGACCGGGCGGCUUGGGGCCGGGGCCGCAGCGUCACGCCAGAGACCAAACACCGAUUGUUAGUGAUGUAUUUAUUUUAUUGGCAGGAGUUCAUAUUUACAACAGAAUCGUAGGAAAUGGGAAGGGACCGAGUCAUCCCAAAGCUCCUUGGCGCUCGCUCGACGUUUCUGCCGCCGCCGUGGGCUGGAAACCGGGGCCGUGAAGUCACGGUGGCGCUGAAAGCGGAGGCGUCGCUGCCAACGCGGUGACCGGUCUCUGUUCCGUUCUCUGCUCCCGGCUCCGUAACGAGGGGAAAAGGCCCCGCUUGUUGGGAAACGGGAAGAAAAGGACUCACCUCGUCGGGAUACAUGGUGGGUAUUAACGUGGUGUUGUCCGAGUAGUAUUCUACCGUUGCGUACAAGUAAUCACCUGCAAUUAGAGCGUUGUCCUGAUGAGUCUGCGUGAGUAUCGAGUAUAACGAGGCAUCAGACCCACUCAAGCUAUUCUAUUAAUAUCAAUUAAGACCCAGCGUUGAUUCUAGAGGUUGGAAACUGCAUCGUGGAGCGGGGCCGCGUGUGCAGCGAUGGCAGCGGCUGCGCGAGCGCUUUGUUGGGCAGAAAUCAAAGCGCGUCUCUGCCCAGGAACGUCUCCCAGGGCUGUUCUGCCCUUCCUGCAUCUCAAUCAUUAUUUUUACCUCGACAAGAGGUGAUUUCAGACAAUCGCAAGAACCCUGGGGGCAGAAAAACACCUUUUAAUGCUGCUUUUAACCUUGCUCAUGUUUUACACCACCCUGCUCCGAGCAUCGCUGAAUUUAUAGUGACCAAACCUAGUCAGUAUUAGGGAUAUAUUUCCUUAGAUGGUGACAUUAUUACCGGGGGACGUUUCCCCUCUGAAUAGCCAACAUAACUCAGAUUAAUCCUAAUAACUCGGUUAAUUAACCGCUGCUUGGCCUGGGCGCCCUGGAACCAGCCGCACGGAGCCAGUUCAUCAAACCCUCGUCAUUUAUCCUGGUUUAAUUGUACAGGUGUUCCUGCAAAGCUCCGAUGUCGGGAGGCCCUGGGCAGCCCCUUCAUCUCCUUCGUUCUCCUCCGAGCUGAAAUCUCAGCGGCUUUCGGCGCCUCCGCAUCGCUCGUGAUGGGCAAAGCACCAUUUCUGGCCCCGCGUAUUCCACGGGACCCGCGGAAAACGGCGGAAAGGCCAGCGGUGGAUCCAGGUACCGGCUCUCAAGCUUUUCACCAUUUCUCCGCGUCCCAGCUCGAGAUCUCAGCACCAACCGAACGUGGGAUCCGCCCCCGUCGCCCCCCUGAGCUUUUGGGGCAGUUCAGCCCAAACCUGGGAUCGCUCGGCCCUUCCCACGCCCCGGCGCCCCCGGCUCCUCCUCCGCGGCUUCGCUGGGAACGUUCCUCCCCGUUUAUUUCCACUGGAGCCGCGCUGAGAAAAAUACCGCGGGGAAGCAGCUGGACACUCCGACCCCUCCGAACCCCCUUCGGCCCCAAUUAACUGCAGGGUAAUUAGGCAGCUCCGGGGCUUUCCUCCAGGAGUUACCCCAAGCGCCCACCUCGUACUUCAGGAAAUCCUGUUUACUUUAAUCUGGUCUAUUUAUCCCUUGCCUGGGUCUCUCUUAAUCACUCCCAGCUGCAUAGCGGGAAUUAUUGUGCGUGCGAGAUGGGAAACGUUAUUAUCAGAUUGCAUUGUCUGAGCACAGCCCGGAUCCUCCGAACACAGCCCGGAUCCUCCAAACACAGCCCGGAUCCGGCAAAAAUAGGCUGGAUCCUCCAAAACCACACUUGAGAACGCAAACCCACACUUCAGCCCCCAAACACGCUCCAUGCUCUUGGCUAUAUUCUCCAGAAACACACUUUAUUCCCCAGCCUGUGUUCUCCAAACACACUCUAUAUUCUCUCUAUAUUCUCCCCAAACACCCUGUAUUCCCCAGCCUAUAUUCUCCAAACACACUCUAUAUUCUCUCUAUAUUCUCCCCAAACACCCUCUAUUCCCCAGCCUAUAUUCUCCAAACACACUCUAUAUUCUCUCUAUAUUCUCCCCAAACACCCUCUAUUCCCCAGCCUAUAUUCUCUCUAUAUUCUCCCCGAACACCCUCUGUUCCCCAGCCUAUAUUCUCCAAGCACAGCCUCUAUUCUCUCUAUAUUCCCCCAAAACGCACUUUCCCGUCACUUUUCCCAAUUGUGUCACAUUUUCCUUUUGCUCCCCAGUGUCCCAGCGAGCACCCCGAGAUUCGCAGGCUCCGGCGCCCGCCCCGCGCAGCAUCGCAGCAGAAACGGCCCCGGACAGGCAAUUAAAUGGAAUUACGAGCCGGGAAAAUACAAAGAACCAAAUCAGAGGAACAUAUUUACCCGGUGAAACCCGCAGGAGCAAGAGGAGCGCGAUGAAGAAGCUCGUCAUGGUGCGGCCGGUGCGGCGCCGGGAGCGCCGUGGGGCAGGAAGUGACUGCUGGGGGGGCGCGCGCCGCGGCUCGCCGCGCCGGGGGCUGCUGCGGACGGACCGACGGACGCGGCGGCUGUGGCGCCGGGGGGAGCGCUCGCCGUGCGGGGAUUGCCUUCCCGACCGCUUCGAUGCGAACCUCGGGAAGUUCGUUCCCUGGGGAGGGUUCAGUCCCGCGAAUGGUUUGGAUUGUAAGGGAGUAAAUGCGAGUUGUUAACAGCGA